UUAUGUUCAUCUGUUUUGUCUCUUAAAGUCCUCAUAGCAGUGAAGUCAUGUGGUUUUUGUCUUUCUCUGACUGACUAAUUUCGCUUAGCAUAUUACCCUCCAGUUCCAUCCACGUAGUUGCAUUAAGUAGAUUUUUCUAAGCAGAAAGAGGAACGACAUUCACACAAAUAGGCAAGGAACUUAAUUGUCAUUGGUGGGCAUUAUGGAUUUUGCAUUCUUACAGAAGCAAACUCGUGAACUGUGAUUUUAUUAUCACAGAAAUUAAUUUCUUGCCAGGAGUCACUUUCUGCUUUUCUCAGCAUUUGAUAUAUGCAAGAUCAUUAUUUCCUGUAUCCACCCUAAAUAGCUUACUUCUUUCCAGGCAAGUAGAGAUUUCAGAAAGACGAUGGGGAAAUUCUUUUCCUUCUGAUUGGUUCUUUGGCCCUUUUCAUACCCCUCCCCCACUCCCUGCAGGGGGUGGUCAUUAAAAUGCCUCAGACGACUGUGGAGCCUUCAGGACGGUAACUGCGAUAUGAUCAUGUGACACACCCAUUCAAAGUUCUCUGCUCCAGGGUCAAGGUUUGGAUGAUGUCACACAGCCUGUGGAUCUCCUGCCUCCUGGACUGGUUUCUCUGUUGUGAGAAGGAUAGGAAACGAGAGAAAGAUGAACCCACUGGCGUCCUUAAUCUACAUCAACUGAGGUGGGACAAAAACAGCACUGUACUUGGUUUGCGCUCUGUGCCCUGAAGCAGAAAUGCCUUUAAUUGUUCAUUGCAAAAUAAACAGAUGUCUAGUGGAGAAGGUUAUUAAAAAUAUGUUGUGCAUUUUGGGAGAACUGGAGGUCAGGAUGGCUUGACCUAGCAUCUCACAGCAAACCCAAGUCAAGUAAGCCACCAAGGUAACAUAGCCUAUUCUUAGGGCAAAAUUUUCUGGUUGGCUAAUUUCUGGAUAUUAUUAAAAGGGACAGUACAUUUUGAAAAUAGAAUGAUGGCCAUCCUCAGGCAGGCGAAUUCUACUUUAAAAACAGAAGAUGUAAUGUGUCAGAUUCAAAUCAUAAGGAAAGGCUGCCCAGUUAAUAGGACAAAUGCCUCCACAUUGUAAAAUAAACAGGAUUUGAAAUGCAGACAGUCUUAUUUUGCAGUUACAAGUUAUUUAAAAAUCUUUAUAAAGACCUAAUAAUAAAAGAAUAAAAUGUUUAACAACAACUCCACAAGAACGCAUUAGUCAUAAGGUACAUAUUAAUUAAGGCCUCUCUUCUACUUACUUCAACAGGUGGCCUAGGAAGGGGGUGGUCCCAUGAGCUCUAGCAGCCAGGGGCCCGGGACCUCACUCUGGGAGACAGCCAGGGCAAAGGUACUACAUCCAGGAAAGAACUUUCACAUAAGACUUCAGUCUCAGAGCUAAGUAAAUAAGGAUCUGUUUUGUUUGUUUUCUUCUUAGACCUUUUUCUUAUGAACUCCCUUUUCCUCUAGAGUUUCCUGAAGUGUAAAACCUGUACAUCUUCUAAAAAAUGCAACAUAUUUAAGUACAAUUAAUUAGCAAAAAUCUACCAAAGAAAACUGUUUAUCUGUUGUUUUUAGAAAAGAUAAAAUUUCCCUUCUAGGAUAGGUCUGACAACAUUAGGUGUUUCUAUGGUAUUUCUGAAGCUGCUACAAGAUAGAAAAAUCUAAAUCACAAUGAGAGUACCUUUCAAACUUCUUAAUCCUAAAACAUGUUAACAAGAAGGCUGUGAAGCAUAGGAUCUAGAACUGCUAUAUUUUGUCACGAAGUGGAACCAGGGAAAUUAGUGCCCCCUGCCAUUGGGCUGCUAGGUUAGGUGGAAAAAAUGAAAUUAAGGGUACUGUCUGUAUUUCUGUGGCUGAAAAUCCAAAGGCAUGAGGCAGUAGUAUCAUGUGCGGUGGGAGUUACGGCCCUUGGAGCCAUGGGCCCUGGCAGCACGGCAGACGUCACCUUCCCACCUGUCUCCUGGCCGUGCCAGUGUAUUAAUCAGGGGAACGUUGAAAUGUACUGGUACCUUGAAAUGUACGAGGAAAAUGGGAAUAGGAGGGAGGAGAAUGGCAAGGAAGAGGGCAGGGCAAGGAGGGGGGAAGGAUGGGAGGAAGAGGGUGACUCGGUCCAUUUGGGCUGCGGUAACUGAAUACCGCGUCCUGGGUGGCUUCUCAGCAGUGGAAGUUUACUUCUCACAGACUGGGAAGCUGAACGUCUGCGAUGAGGCUGCCUGCAGGGUCAGGUUCAGUCUGGUGUGGGCGUGCUUCCUGAUUCAUGGGGGCUGUCUUCCACCGGGAACCUCACCUGGGUGGCGGAAGGGGAGGGCGCUCUGGCAGGCCUCUUUCCUAAGGGCACUGAUCCCAUUGGUGAGGGCUCCCCUCCUUCGGACCCACUCACCUCCCAAAGGCCUACCUGCUAAUACCUGGGUUGAAACUAACCCAAGGUUUUGGGGAGGACGCAGACAUUCAGUGCAUUGUAGUGUGGGAAAACAGGCUGUCCACAAAGGAUCAGCACCUUUCCCAGCUUUCUCCAUGUACGUGUGUUUGUACAAGAGGAAGGGGUGCCACUCUUGAUCUCUUGGUUGUGGAUUACAGUAUUGGGUGCAGAGAUCACUUAUAAAAAAUUUUUUUUGAAGAGGAAAAAAUGGGAAGUGUAAAAGAAAAAAAGGCAUUUAUCUGGGGAAGGGUAUUUAGUGGGCCACUAGGAAUUCCUAACCACGUGAACGUGUUACUUGAAUAAACGUCUUCGUAUUGCUCCUUCUUCUCAUGUCCCUUUUAUCUGGUCUCAGCAGAGUAUAUUUUAUUAUUUUGAGGUUUCGGUCUUGGGGGAAAGUUCAGAACUAACAGGCAUAAAUAUUCGUGGAAGAGAGGCAAGCAGAGACGCAGUACACUCUUACUUUCCUGCCAGGAACCAGCUGACCUUUCUCUGGCGCAGAGUGGCCUGGUGAGAUCCAGAAUUAAACUUUCUCUCUACAAUGACCUGUUCAGACGGCAAAUAGAUCCAUCAUCUGGUUCUGGGCCCUGCGGAAGACACCCCCCCCCCCACCCCCCACCCCCUCAGCCCCCCACCCCCCCACCCCGCCCACGACUGCGCGGUGCGCCAUUUACACCGACUCCGGCCCUUCAGCAGGUGGCGCUGUUUGCUCUAUUCCCGCCGCUUGGCGUUCCCUUCCUUUCUAGAGCACGGUCCCCUUCCUUUUUUUUCAGUCCAUAUGUAACGGCUGCCUCUUUUACAUCGUUGCUUGGGAGGUACUCUCCCAGUGAUCUUAGCACUGAGGAGGAGAAGCAAAUUAGCAACAUGGAACAACUCACGUUUUCAUGUUUGAUCUUUAAAGCCCUCAUCUCCUGAUCUAAUUAAUUGCCCCACAUAAGGGCAAGCGAGUGAGCCUCAGAAAUCGUAUUGUUCACUCAUCCCUGUCUUCCCCUAUCCUCCACCCUACUUAUUGUCCCUCCUUAGGCAGCCUUCCCUUCUCUUCAUUCACCCCUGCCCAAGGCUUCAAAAUACUAUUAAAAGUAUCUCUAAACCAAAUUUCUCUCUAAUUAACUUCUUUAGGUGUUUAUAAAAGUGAAGUUUUCUUCCAUCCUUAAUCACGGAUGGAGUAGCAGGAAUUUUCCCAGGCUGCCAUCCCGCGUCCCUCAUUGAGUAGCUAUGUAAUCUGGGCAUAAAAACCCCUUGUAAAAUGGGAUUGGUGGACCAAGAGACUUUGAGGCGUCUUCCAGCUCUCAUACUCUGGGAUUAUAAAGCGGUUUGCCACUGCCUUAAAUAAUAGUUGUACUGUGAUACCAGAUGAUUGUUUCUGAUAUUUUCUUUGAGCAGGAAAAGUUGUUAAGUAGCACAAAGAGUCAGUGGAGGCAGUUGAUCUAGGGAGAGAGGGUAUUUGGGGUAAGAUGUAACACGUCUUCCACACGAGACAUCACUCAUGACAGAUAUUCUCAUGUAUUUCUGUGGUGCAGCAGAUACCAAAUAGGCAUUUAGGCAUAAAUUCUAGAACUUUCUUAGUGUGCUUAUUUAUUUAAAAAUGGAAAUCGGAAUUGAGCUGUCUCCCUGGUUUAUUUGGUAUUCUUCUGACAAUAGGCAUUUGUUGUAUUGUCAGACUUCAUUCUGUUGGAUGAGAUCACUUUUUUACCUUAUGAAAACACUAAAUGAUCAUUGUAAAGAACCGUCAACCCAUACAGAAAGAAAUGGAAAGAGGAAUUCUCCUCCCUCCCCAUCCUGUCAUUAGAGAUAACCCGUAUCAUUUUCUCUCUUGUUUAUUCCUUCAGAUAUUUUCUAUGGAUGUGCACAAAUACCUGUAUAUGUAUUAUCACUUCUGUUUAAUCACUAAAUAUUGAUGAAUAUUUUUGCGGCACAUGUUAAUCCUACUGGAGAAUUAUGCACGUAAACUACAUGAGAGAGCAAAUGAAGACACUGUAGGGUUAAGGAGCAAGAUCGAUAACAAACAGCACUCCAUUGCUGAUCAAAUAGUCAGCUCAUAGCGAUUCCUAACAGGUAGAGCUUCUAGAAAGAAUUGAGCACGGAGGAUCGUGUGUUUGGAGGAGUCCUUUCUAGGGGACUGUGCUGGGGUCAUGGUGGGAGGUGACCACCAGUGAUUUCUCCACUUCUGUACCUGCUUACAACUCAGAGGUAGAGUCUCUUCUUCCUGUAAUGGUGACAGUCUCUUACAGGCUAAUGGUGAUGCUGUUACAGUUCUGGUGUCUGCCUGGCAAUUUCAGUUUUUGCUUUCUUGGAAGACGAUCCUCAUGUAAAGAAGGCUGACCGCCUUGCGGAAGAGAAAGGCCUGACAGAUGCCUCUAGAGGAUGAGACCCUCAGGAGGGAGAUCGGUCCAGGCCCUCGCCAUUGCAGCACUCCAGCUGAACCGCCAGCCGUGUGGCGCAAGUCAUCUUGGGUCCUCUAGCCCAAGUCAAGCUGCCCCAGCCGACACUCCAUGAAGGAAAGACAAGCUGUCACUGUCAUGUUCUGUCCAGAUGGCAGAAUGGUGAGCAAGAAAAUGGUUGAUGCUCUUUUAAGCUGCAACGUUUUGGGGUAGUGUGUUAUGCACAAUAAAUAACAGAAAUUGAUGCCUGAAAGUUGGGUGCUGGCACAACAGAAAUCUAAACAAAAAUCUAAAAACAGAAAAUCGAAAACACGAGGCAUCAGCUUUGGGACAAGGCAUUGGGCAGAGAUUGCGGAGGUGAUGAAGGAUGAAGGAACUCUCUCUCUGUCUCUCUCUCUCUUUUUUUUUUUUUAAAUUAACUUCGUCUUUAACAUUUUUAUUUUGAAACAAUUUUAGACUUACAGAAAAGUUGCAGAAACGAUAGAGUUCGUGUACCAGAGUUCACCCAGCUGCCCUAAUAAUAAUAAAUUACCCAAAGCAGGAAAUUAACAUAAACUACAGACCUUAAGUGAACUUCACCAGCUUUUCUGGUGAUGUUCUUUUUCCAUUUCAGAAUCCAACCUAGGAUCCUGCAUUUGCAUUUAGUUGAUAUCAUCUCCUUAGUCUGGGAAGGAGGAUCUUAGUGGAGGCUCUGAGAGUGGUGAGUAAAUUGUAUUAGAGGCUGGAGAAACGGUGCUAGAUGGUGGCAAAAUAUUUGGUGGUCCUUGUGUGCAGUAAAACAGAAGAUGAAAAAUGGACCUAAUGAACUUGUAAAUCUGGCAACAGGGAUUUUCAAACUGAGUGUUCAAAGUAUCAUUUGGCUUUUAGUGAUGUGCGAUGGUGUUACAAGAGAGAGAUGUGUUGAAAAAGGAACUAUUCAGUUUUCAAGCAGAAUGUAGAGGAAAUAGACAGGGCCUAGGAGAUUCUCUUGAGUCAGCAAUAGCCUCAAAGUAAGAAAUGGCCUCAGGGGGCCUGUUAAAUGUGGCCUCCAGGUAAUGAUCCAGUCAAGACUCUUAUGUUAAGGCCUGUCAACAUUUUAAGAUGUUGUCUCAUAGACCCUCUCAGCUAGUCAGAAGGGCUUCUAAGAAGCAAUCUUCAGAGGAGUCCAACAGCAGCUUCCUUGACCCAAAGCAGGCAGAAGUUUGUUUUUGGAAGAAUUAUAGAUGUGGCUUUGUGGGCACAGUUGUUGUGGGCAAGGAGUAAACUCCAAUAAGAGUCCUAGAAAACCCACAACAUUUUAAUGACAAUUAUAUUGAUAAAACCACCACCGGCCUAAACUAAAGAAGAGACGGUUUAAAUGUAAAAAAGAGCCACUGGGCUCCCCAAGUUUCUAUGGAUAGGACACAGGCUGAGAGAAGCCGUCCCCCUGUAAAGGACAGGCCGUGUCUUAUGGAAAAGGAAGCCUCAGAGGUCACAGCCUGCCCCGGAGCGCAGGGAGCCCAGAACGGUGGUCCGGGAGGCUCCCGGGGAGAAGAACCAGACCCUGCUGGAGGUGUGGGUCCCCAGAGUGAGGCUGCCAGUGCUAGGCUGGCUCUGGGGACUGCUAUGGAUGGCGGUUGCUUCGUGCCUGCCCUGUUGCCAGCCUCGGACACGAGUUCGUGUCAUGGUUACCCUACCCCAUCUCAGCACUGUCCGCUGUGAAUGGAGCUGGUCCUUUUAGCUCACAGGUCUCCAGAGAAGCGGAGCAGCCUCUAAAAUGCCUCAUCCACACCUGGGCCUAGCGCGUGUCCUCAGAGCCGGCGCUACGCAGAAUGACAAUUUCCCGGGAGGGACGGGGCGGAUUUUGCAGGUCAGCGUGUGGGUGUGUGCGGGUGUGAACUGUUAUGUUGGGAGUGUGUCCCAAUAUGACCGCCCAUAAUCCGUCCUAUUCCAGGUGGUCUCUUUGCUGUCCCCUGGCAUCUGGGCUGGCCCUGUGGCCUGCUCUGGCCGCGAGCCAUGAAAGUGAUGUUCCGGGACUUCCGAACCCCCGCUUUCGGAAGCCUUGUAGCUUCUGCUUUCUCUUUUGGGACCCAACCUGUAAAGAAGCAUAAAGGAGCUGGGGUGGUGAAGCCGUCUUGGCCAUUCCAGCCCCCGCCAGAUGCACAGCUAAAGGCCCCCACGUCUGCCCCCUGCCCCGCACUGUCUGCAUGGGAAGGCAGAAGAACGGCCCAGCUGGCCUUUCCAAAUUGUAGAAUUGUGAGAAAGUAAGGGGUGGUGGUUCUUUGAAGCCACUAAGCUCACGGUGGUUUGCAAUGCAGCAAUAGGUAAAUAAAGCCGUUAUCAAAUAUCA